rnacentral:rRNA from 1 species
AUGGAGGAUGAAGAAAACAUCGAGGAAGAACUUUUGCUGGUGGAGUCGCAACUCAAUGGACUACAAGACAAAAUCAAGACAUUACUUGAUCAGCAAGAAGAAUUGUAUGAGCGCCAAGCACAGUUGAAGGCUAUGCUGGAAAUAUCUAAAACUUCCAGAGAUGCAUCAAAUAGUGCCCCUUCAGUUGCUCUGGAAGAUUGGUCUGGAAAGUUCUCAUGGGAUUCUCAGGCUGAUGACACUCGAUUCAAUGUAUUUGGUAUUUCUUCCUACAGGUCAAAUCAACGAGAAAUAAUUAACUCAAUCAUGAGUGGAAAAGAUGUUCUGGUUAUAAUGGCUGCUGGUGGAGGGAAGAGUCUGUGUUAUCAACUUCCAGCUGUACUUCGUGAUGGAAUUACACUUGUCGUCAGUCCUUUGCUUUCGCUUAUUCAGGAUCAGGUCAUGGGACUGGCGGCUUUAGGUAUACCAGCUCACAUGUUGACUUCCACUACCAACAAGGAAAUCGAGAAGUUCAUUUAUAAGGCACUUGAAAAAGGUGAAGGGGAAUUGAAGAUAUUGUAUGUGACACCUGAAAAGAUAUCCAAAAGUAAAAGGUUCAUGUCUAAGCUUGAGAAAUGCCAUCAUGCUGGGCGUCUUUCUCUUGUUGCAAUAGAUGAGGCACACUGCUGCAGCCAAUGGGGGCACGAUUUCCGUCCAGACUACAAGAAUCUGGGCAUAUUGAAGAUCCAGUUUCCCAGUGUUCCCAUGAUAGCUUUAACUGCAACUGCAACAAGUAAAGUGCAAAUGGAUCUGAUAGAGAUGCUUCAUAUCCCAAGAUCUGUCAAGUUUGUCAGCACUGUUAACAGGCCCAACCUUUUCUAUAGAGUAUAUGAAAAGUCAUCAGUUGGAAAGGUUGUUAUUGAUGAGAUUGCAAAUUUCAUAAGCGAAUCAUAUCCAAAUAACGAAUCCGGGAUAGUGUAUUGUUUUUCCAGGAAAGAAUGUGAACAGGUUGCCAAAGAAUUGCGUGGAAGGGGUAUUUCAGCAGAUUAUUAUCAUGCAGAUAUGGAUGUUGUUGCUCGUGAGAAAGUUCAUAUGCGUUGGAGUAAAAGCAAAUCACAGGUCAUUGUUGGAACAGUGGCUUUUGGAAUGGGAAUCAAUAAACCAGACGUCAGGUUUGUGGUUCAUCAUAGCCUUAGCAAAUCUAUGGAGACAUACUACCAGGAAAGUGGUCGGGCAGGGAGAGAUGGACUGCCUUCAGAAUGUGUUCUAUAUUAUCGGCCUGGUGACGUUCCCCGCCAAAGUUCGAUGGUCUUCUAUGAAAACUGUGGUCUGCAAAAUCUUUAUGACAUAGCGCGAUAUUGCCAGUCUAAGAAAAACUGCCGUCGUGGUGCUUUCUUUCAACAUUUUGGAGAGGCCGUGCAGGAAUGCAACGGAAUGUGUGACAACUGUGUUUCCAGUAUUGAGCUCAAGGACAUAGAUGCUACCUACCAUACAAAAAUCACUGUUUCACUUCUCCAAGAAAUGCAACAAAAUGACCAAAGAGCUACAUUGCUGCAGCUAGUGGAUAAGUUCAAAACAAAGUGGAAACAUUCAGCAGGUUGUUCAAAUGAAGCAGUUGAUCUUAAGAAGGAGGAAAUUGAGCAGCUGAUAGUUCAACUUAUACUUGACCGUGUUUUGAAAGAAGAAUUUCAGCAUACUGCAUAUACAACCAAUGCAUAUGUUGUCUUAGGACCACUGUGGAAGCCAGCAUUGCAAGGGAACAGACCGGUGAAGCUAACUAGUGCUAUUCACUCUCAAGAUAGUGGUGAUAGAUUCAAAAGUGCAAAGCGCAAUCAGAUGAGCAAUUUGGAAGCUAAAUUGGAUGACCUGCGUAGAACCAUCUCUUCUCGUAAUGGGGGCAUAUUCCCGCAUGCAGUUCUUUCCACGGAGCAAAUUUCCCUGCUAAACUGCCAUACUCCAACCACUAUUGCCGAGCUAGAAAAGCUGAUAGGGAAGGUAAAGACCGACAAGUACGGUAGCGACAUCAUUGAGGUGAUGUGGUCAGAAACUGGCAGUGGAAAGGACAGUGGUGAUGGAGCUAAGAGGCAAAAGAAAGAUAAGGGUGUUGUUUUCGUUGAGAGUGGCGAGGAGGAAGGCUAG